rnacentral:rRNA from 1 species
UACGAAGGGGGCUAGCGUUGCUCGGAAUCACUGGGCGUAAAGGGUGCGUAGGCGGGUCUUUAAGUCAGGGGUGAAAUCCUGGAGCUCAACUCCAGAACUGCCUUUGAUACUGAAGAUCUUGAGUUCGGGAGAGGUGAGUGGAACUGCGAGUGUAGAGGUGAAAUUCGUAGAUAUUUCGCAAGAACACCAGUGGCGAAGGCGGCUCACUGGCCCCGAUACUGACGCUGAGGCACGAAAAGCGUGGGGAGCAAACAGG